AGCGAACGCUGGCGGCAGGCCUAAUACAUGCAAGUCGAGCGGGUCCUUCGGGAUUAGCGGCGGACGGGUGAGUAACGCGUGGAACGUGCCCUUUGGUACGGAACAACUGAGGGAAACUUCAGCUAAUACCGUAUGUGCCCUUCGGGGAAAGAUUUAUCGCCAUUGGAGCGGCCCGCGUUGGAUUAGGUAGUUGGUGAGGUAAAGGCUCACCAAGCCUACGAUCCAUAGCUGGUCUGAGAGGAUGACCAGCCACACUGGGACUGAGACACGGCCCAGACUCCUACGGGAGGCAGCAGUAGGGAAUCUUGCGCAAUGGGCGAAAGCCUGACGCAGCCAUGCCGCGUGAAUGAUGAAGGUCUUAGGAUUGUAAAAUUCUUUCACCGGGGACGAUAAUGACGGUACCCGGAGAAGAAGCCCCGGCUAACUUCGUGCCAGCAGCCGCGGUAAU
rnacentral:rRNA from 1 species